CCUACGGGAGGCUGCAGUGGGGAAUAUUGCACAAUGGGGGAAACCCUGAUGCAGCGACGCCGCGUGAGUGAAGAAGUAUUUCGGUAUGUAAAGCUCUAUCUGCAGGGAAGAAAAUGCCGGUACCUGACUCAGAAGCCCCGGCUAACUACGUGCCAGCAGCCGCGGUAAUACGUCGGGGGCCAGCGUUAUCCGGAUUUAGUGGGUGUAAAGGGAGGGUAGACGGCCAGACAAGUCAGAAGUGAAAGCCCAGGGAUCAACCCUGGGACUGCCUUUGAAACUGCCGGGCUUGAGUGCAGGAGAGGUAAGCGGAAUGCGUAGUGUAGCGGUGAAAUGCGUAGAUAUUAGGAGGAACACCAGUGGCGAAGGCGGCUUACUGGACUGUAACUGACGUUGAGGCUCGAAAGCGUGGGGAGCAAACAGGAUUAGAUACCCUAGUAGUC
rnacentral:rRNA from 1 species